UACGAAGGGGACUAGCGUUGUUCGGAUUUACUGGGCGUAAAGGGCGCGUAGGCGGCCACCGCAAGUCAGUUGUGAAAUCUCUGGGCUUAACCCAGAAAGGUCAACUGAUACUGCGGGGCUAGAGUGCAGAAGGGGCAACUGGAAUUCUCGGUGUAGCGGUGAAAUGCGUAGAUAUCGAGAGGAACACCUGCGGCGAAGGCGGGUUGCUGGGCUGACACUGACGCUGAUGCGCGAAAGCUAGGGGAGCGAACGGG
rnacentral:rRNA from 1 species